AUUGAACGCUGGCGGCAGGCCUAAUACAUGCAAGUCGAACGGUAACAUAAAAGAAGCUUGCUUCUUUUGAUGACGAGUGGCGGACGGGUGAGUAAUAUUUGGGAAACUACCUGAUAGAGGGGGACAACAGUUGGAAACGACUGCUAAUACCGCAUAAAGCCUGAGGGUGAAAGCAGCAAUGCGCUAUCAGAUGUGCCCAAACGGGAUUAGCUAGUAGGUGAGGUAAUGGCUCACCAAGGCGACGACGGGUAGCCGGCCUGAGAGGGCGACCGGCCACACUGGGACUGAGACACGGCCCAGACUCCUACGGGAGGCAGCAGUGGGGAAUAUUGCACAAUGGGCGAAAGCCUGAUGCAGCGACGCCGCGUGAGGGAUGACGGCCUCGGUU
rnacentral:rRNA from 1 species